rnacentral:rRNA from 1 species
UAACAACCUGGAAACAAGAUAGCUAAUAACCGGAUAACAACAGAUGAUGCCUAUCAACUGUUUAAAAGAUGGUUCUGCUAUCACUCUUGGAUGGACCUGCGGUGCAUUAGCUAGUUGGUAGGGUAACGGCCUACCAAGGCGAUGAUGCAUAGCCGAGUUGAGAGACUGAUCGGCCACAUUGGGACUGAGACACGGCCCAAACUCCUACGGGAGGCAGCAGGA